UAAGUAUUUUAGGGUGUUGUCAUCCUUUUCAUCGAUAGGGCUAAGCUUAGUUUGCGUUUUAAAUCCCCGAUAAGUAUUUUAGCGAGUCUCUCAUCGAAUUUUGAAUAUUAUGGUUUAGGGCCCUGUAAAACGUCGAGCUGCACUUCCACUCAGGCUGACCGGCACACUUGAGCAAGGAACGAGGUAAAGGAAAAGCAAAGCUGGAGGAACAGUGAGGUGGAACUCGGCAUGAUUGUACAUAUUGCGGCAGUGCAACCUGGAGGGUUUCGAUUUAUAAAUAUUUUGGAGUCUGUAUUUUGAUGAUGCAUGUCCGCAAAAUUAUUAAAACAAAUAUAUAUAUAUAUAUAUGCAUAUUUAAUAGUAAAGUACUUUUAACCUAAAUUUUGAUACUCGGGAUCCCGAUCCAUAUGUUUAUUAAUAUAUAAAUUAUUAAAGUUAA